GUCUCAUAUUAUCAGGGAAGGAGGGCAUCAGGCAAGCAGUCUCCAAGCAUGAAACAUCAUUCACCUCAUUUCAGACAGACCCUGUGACAAAUUACAGCCUCCUCAGACAUUAAAAAUACAUUGAUCAAGAGAAGUUGUAAGACAUGGAAGAAAAAUUAAUCCAUACCUCUCUUAGAAAGAAAAGAAGGAACCACUUUGCUGAAUGACCUUUGAGCUGAACAGACCAUCGAGUUUUAAAAGUACCUGCCAGUUUCACAUCCCUUCUGAGACUUUAAAGAGCAACUGAAUGAUUUUGGACCUCUGCUGAAAUUCAAACCAAAUUAGAAGCCAGACGGUUGUUACCCAUAAUCCCCACAUGAGAUGAAUCCCAGGAAGCCCAUCUGCUUGAAUUCCCCAUUUCCACAUGGAAGUUAGGAUCUCCAGCUAUUCAUAAUCUGGGCCUCUGGUGCAAUUAGAAGAGGCUGAAAAGGCACAGAAGCAGAGCAUAAGCAUUGGACAGACUCGUGAACUACAGGAGGAGGUUACUUGAGUAUAACCAAAAAGUUUGGGACUGACCAUCAAUGAGGAACCUCACUAAAAUGCUCUCUGCGUGACUGUCUUUGAAAUGACAACGUAUUGGGAAGGUCAGGAAGAUGGUGACGUAGGAGGACUCUGGGCUCACCGCGCGUCCUGCUGAUCACUUAGAUUCCACCUACACCUGCCUAAAUAACCCAGAAAACCGAG